AUUGAACGCUGGCGGCAUGCUUUACACAUGCAAGUCGAACGGCAGCGCGGGCUUCGGCCUGGCGGCGAGUGGCGAACGGGUGAGUAAUACAUCGGAACGUGCCCAGUAGUGGGGGAUAGCUCGGCGAAAGCCGGAUUAAUACCGCAUACGACCUGAGGGUGAAAGCGGGGGAUCUUCGGACCUCGCGCUAUUGGAGCGUCCGAUGGCAGAUUAGCUAGUUGGUGGGGUAAAGGCCUACCAAGGCGACGAUCUGUAGCUGGUCUGAGAGGACGACCAGCCACACUGGGACUGAGACACGGCCCAGACUCCUACGGGAGGCAGCAGUGGGGAAUUUUGGACAAUGGGCGAAAGCCUGAUCCAGCAAUGCCGCGUGUGUGAUGAAGGCCUUCGGGUUGUAAAGCACUUUUGGCGGGAACGAAAAGGACUGUGCCAAUACCACGGUUCGAUGACGGUACCCGCAGAAUAAGCACCGGCUAACUACGUG
rnacentral:rRNA from 1 species